AGAGUUUGAUCCUGGCUCAGGAUAAACGCUGGCGGCGCACAUAAGACAUGCAAGUCGAACGGACUUAACCUAAAAGUUUACUUUUUGGAGCGGUUAGUGGCGGACUGGUGAGUAACACGUGGGUGACGUACCCUUUAGAUUGGGAUAGCUCCUAGAAAUAGGAGAUAAUACCGAAUACGGUCUGUAAAGUUAGAGGUUACAGAGGAAAGGUUCUUUAGAAUCGCUGAAGGAACGGCCCGCGCACUAUUAGCUAGUUGGUGAGGUAACGGCUCACCAAGGCGAUGAUAGUUACCCGGCCUAAGAGGGUGAACGGGCACAUUGGGACUGAGAUACGGCCCAGACUCCUACGGGAGGCAGCAGCUAAGAAUAUUCCGCAAUGGACGAAAGUCUGACGGAGCGACGCCGCGUGGCUGAAGAAGGUCGGAAGAUUGUAAAAUCCUUUUAAGCAUGAGGAAUAAGGGUGAAGAGAGAAACUUCAUUUGGUGACUGUAGUGCUUGAAUAAGCAACGGCUAAUUACGUGCCAGCAGCCGCGGUAACACGUAAGUUGCGAGCGUUGUUCGGAAUUAUUGGGCGUAAAGGGCAUGUAGGCGGUUUUGCAAGCUUGGUGUGAAAUACUGGAGCUUAGCUCCAGAAUUGCGUUGAGAACUGCAUAACUAGAGUGACUGAGGGGCAAUCAGAAUUCCUGGUGUAGGGGUGAAAUCUGUAGAUAUCAGGAAGAAUACCGAUGGCGAAGGCAGGUUGCCAGCAGAUGACUGACGCUGAGGUGCGAAGGUGCGGGGAGCGAACAGGAUUAGAUACCCUGGUAGUCCGCACAGUCAACUAUGUACACUGGAUGUCUGCACGAUAGUGUGGGUGUCGAAGCAAACGCGAUAAGUGUACCGCCCUGGGGAGGAUGCCCGCAAGGGUGAAACUCAAAGGGAAUUGACGGGGGGCCCGCACAAGCGUGGAGCAUGUGGUUUAUUUGAAGCAACGCGAAGACCUUACCAGGGCUUGACAUGUAUCGGAAUACUUAAGAGAUUAAGUAGUUCUUCGGAACUGAUACACAGGUGGUGCAUGGUUGUCGUCAGCUCGUGUCGUGAGAUGUUGGGUUAAGUCCCGCAACGAGCGCAACCCCUGUUGUUAGUUGCCAUCAUUAAGUUGGGCACUCUAACGAGACUGCCGGCGAUAAGUCGGAGGAAGGUGGGGACGACGUCAAAUCAUCAUGCUCUUUAUGUCCUGGGCUACACACGUACUACAAUGGCAAGUACAGAGGGAAGCAAAACCGCGAGGUAGAGCAAAACCCUAAAACUUGUCUCAGUUCAGAUUGUAGUCUGAAAUUCGACUAUAUGAAGAUGGAAUUGCUAGUAAUUGCAGGUCAGCAUACUGCAGUGAAUACGUUCUCGGGCCUUG
rnacentral:rRNA from 1 species